rnacentral:rRNA from 1 species
GAUGAACGCUGGCGGCGUGCAUAACACAUUCAAGUCGAACGGACGAGGACCCUUCGGGGGUCAAGUUAGUGGCGGACGGGUGAGUAACGCGUGAGGAACCUGCCUUUCAGAGGGGGACAACAGUUGGAAACGACUGCUAAUACCGCAUAAUGCAGCAGUAUCGCAUGGUACAGUUGCCAAAGAUUUAUCGCUGAAAGAUGGCCUCGCGUCUGAUUAGAUAGUUGGUGGGGUAACGGCCUACCAAGUCGACGAUCAGUAGCCGGACUGAGAGGUUGAACGGCCACAUUGAGACUGAGACACGGCCCAGACUCCUACGGGAGGCAGCAGUGGGGGAUAUUGCACAAUGGGGGAAACCCUGAUGCAGCGACGCCGCGUGAGGGAAGACGGUUUUCGGAUUGUAAACCUCUGUCUUCGGGGACGAACAAAUGACGGUACCCGAGGAGGAAGCCACGGCUAACUACGUG